UAACCAAUUUAAAUAUGUAAUGCCUUAAAACCGUCAUCACAUGCGCUCAAACCGUAAGAUAGCUCAUGCAGAACGAUACUGGUAACUAACCCCUUUUCAUCUAUGUUGUAACUUUUAGCUAGCAAGCAAGUUACCAGCAUGCCCGGAAAAAGCACACUGUGUUGUGACUGGAUGCCAUAGUGUUAAUUAAAAUGUAUUCCGAAGAAUGAAGACAUCCGACAGCAGUGGCUGCUUUUCAUUUCGGGUGGACAGGCUGCACCGAAAACUUCCUAGGCAACCACCGCAGCAGGAAUGCUGUGAUACAAAAUCAGCUUUCCCAAGGCAAAGAACGGGGAUAUGCUGUGAAGCCUGUGAAGACAGAUCAAAGAAGGGGGAUAUGCUGUGAAGCCUUUGAAGACAGACCCAACAUACUGCAACGUAGACAGGCUCCUGGUCUCCUCUUCAACGAGGUCACCCUUGAUCCAGCGCCGUAUGUGGGGAAGCUGUGCAAGCUGUCCAUCCCAGGAUCCCUGUCUGCCCAGUAUGAGAGGUCUGACAAGGAGGAGGCCAUAGCUGGAUUUGUCUCCCUCUUCAAUCUUGGGGGUGACUGAAGCCACGUGGGUGACUGAAGCCUGCUUGAUUGAAGCGGGGUACAUGGGUCCCCCUCCUCCCCCGCUCCCAUCCCCGACAAUCUCUGUAGUUGGUUGCAUUUCCUAAAGCCUAAGUAAUUCACUUUUAUGUGAUAUGUCAAGCAUUCGGACGGGAGAUGAGUGUUACAAAUUGGACAAAUCAAUGGGGUCCACACUGUAGGGCAGCCUGGUGCCUAUAUUAGGCUUUUGGCUCGAAUGUUUUUUUAUGUCAAAUGAUGUCUCAAUAUUAUUUCUCACCUUUAUUUCUUGUUAGUGUUCAUGUUGAUUAAUAUUUCAGCUAUGCUGGCCUAUUGUAAAUGAUCAAAUAAAUGUAUGAUCA